rnacentral:rRNA from 1 species
UACGGGAGGCAGCAGUAGGGAAUCCUACGGGAGGCAGCAGUGGGGAAUAUUGCACAAUGGGGGAAACCCUGACGCAGCAACGCCGCGUGAGUGAUGAAGGUUUUCGGAUCGUAAAACCCUGUCUUCUGGGAAGAUAAUGACGGUACCCAAUGAGGAAGCCACGGCUAACUACGUGCCAGCAGCCGCGGUAAUA